rnacentral:rRNA from 1 species
GGGGUUUGACAUGAUAGCGAAGUCUGCAGAGAUGUAGACGCCUUUCGGGGCGCUAUGACAGGUGCUGCAUGGCUGUCGUCAGCUCGUGUCGUGAGAUGUUGGGUUAAGUCCCGCAACGAGCGCAACCCUUGCCUCUAGUUACCAGCGAGUAAUGUCGGGGACUCUAGAGGGACUGCCGGUGAUAAACUGGAGGAAGGUGGGGAUGACGUCAAGUCCUCAUGGCCCUUAUGUCUGGGGCUACACACGUGCUACAAUGGUAUGUACAAAGGGCAGCAAGCAUGCGAGUGCAAGCCAAUCCCUUAAAGCAUAUCCCAGUCCGGAUUGGAGUCUGCAACUCGACUCCAUGAAGUUGGAAUCGCUAGUAAUCGUGGAUCAGCAUGCCACGGUGAAUACGUUCCCGGGCCU